rnacentral:sRNA from 1 species
GCCAAGCAUGGUGGUGCUUGCCUGUAAUUCCAGCAACUUGGGAGACUGAGGCAGGAGGAUCACAAGUUUGAGACCAGCCUCAGCAAUUGAGUGAGGCCAGAAGCAACUUAGUGAGACCCUGUCUCAA